rnacentral:lncRNA from 1 species
CCCCUCUCCAGGCUCAAUAGGAACGGAGGCUCGGGAAGAUGUUUAGGAGUUGCUAUUCAUCAGUGAGGGAAGAGAUUGUGGGACCCACCUCAUGAAGACAGCCACCUUGAAAUGAACUCAGGGGAAAACAGAACUAAAAUUAAGAGAGAAUGAGCUUGGACAACAGUCGCUGACUCCUGAAUUUAGCAAUGCUUGAAGGCAGCUGCCCCUUGGACAAGCCAGUUAUGUCUUCCAACAUUAUCUUUUACUGCUGGUGGUAAUUUGAUAUGGGUUCUUUCAUUAAAGGGAGUCCUGGCUCAUAGGGACCUUUUUGCUAAAACCUCCCUGGCUCAUAGGGACCUUUCCAGCCAUCUGCUCUGGGAGUCUUAAAAUUGUAAAAUGAACUGGGAAGGCCCAUCAACAACCAAGCAGGAAAGAGAAGAGGGACUUUUCAAAAUCUCAGUUCAGAGGCCUCCACUGAGCUUUCCCAUUGGCCAGAAGCAGGGAGGCUGGUAUUGUCCACCUAUCCCCUGCCCCUACCAAAGUGCUAUAUACUCUUUCAACCAUUUAUUGAGCACCUAGUAUUUGCCAAGCCAUGUGCCUUGACCUAGAAGGAAGGGAAGAGUGGAUACGUGUUCCAUUGUACAGUACAUGACCAGUGUGCGUGCUGUGGGCACCUGCAUACCAUAUUUCAUGCCAUCCUUAUAACAGCCCAAAGAAACAGGAUCGUUAUUUCCAUCUUGCACAUAAGAAAUCAUCAGCAAUAGAGCUGAAGAGGGUUAAGUGAGUAGCUGGGACUGCAGGUGCAUGCCACCACACCCAGCUAAUUUUAUUUUUAUUUUUUGUAGGGAUGGGGUUUCAUCAUGUUGCCCAGGCUGGUCUCAAACUCCUGAGUUCAAGUGAUCCACCCGCCUCGGCCUGCCAAGGUGUUGGGAUGACAAGUGUGAAUCACUGAACCUAGCUGGAGUUUUUGUUAUAGGAUAUUGUGUGGCAGAGCCUGGGACAUGAGCUCGAGACCUGGGACUGAGGAGGAGAGAAAGGAAGAGAGAGGGAGGGAGGGAGGGAAGUCAGGGAGAGAUACAGGGAGAGUGCAAAGAGAGAUGCAAAGAAUAGAAACAAAAAGAAAGGAGGCUUUCUUAGUGACUUUAACUGUGACAUUCAACCCAAGAAAAGAAAGAAAAUUAAUGCCUUCAGUUUGGAGACUUUGACAGAUUCCGUGCCAGAGCUUAAGCUGACUGAGAGGACGUUUGAACGCUCAUGAAGAGCCCACCCACAGCCUCAAGAUGCACUGGUCUUCAGAGUGCAAUGACGUCUGCACUGGCAUCUCAUCCAUGCUCCUCCAAGAGCUGAACCCAUUAGCUUGGCCAAUCUAUUCCUUCCAGCAACAGCCUGAGAGCCAAUGAAUGACCUAGAAGGCAGACACCCUGGGGGUAUAGCACGAGUCUUCACCAACCUAUUCAGGGCAUCCUGCCAGCUUUGGCUGUCCAGCAGUGCCUGCAUGUUGAGGAUAUAUUGACGCUCCACAGUCACAGCGUGGCAUGAUGGCCCCUGGCGUGACCGUCGUGCUUCCUUUGAAUCAACAUAUUGGUGGUCUAACCAUGACCUGUGUUGACACUAUGGCCACACAGUAGCCUUAGAGGACACUCACAAUGUAAGCAAGCGUGUAUCAAUACUUGGACAGAGGAGGGUGUGGUGUUUGUGUGUGCAUAAAAAGUAUGUGUUAUUGUUGUUUUAUAAAGGGAGUGCUGUUUUGGAGAUUCUUCCAUAUUUGCAGUAAUAAAUCUAUA